UGGUCAAGUUAUUAAGGGUGCAGGGCGGAUGCCUUGGCACUAGGAGCCGAUGAAGGACGUGAUAAGCUGCGAUAAGCUUCGGGGAGUUGCACGUAAACUUUGAUCCGAAGCUUUCCGAAUGAGGAAACUCACUUAGAGUAAUGUCUAAGUAUCAUUAAGUGAAUACAUAGCUUAAUGAGGGGAACUCAGGGAACUGAAAC
rnacentral:rRNA from 1 species